rnacentral:rRNA from 1 species
AGAGUUUGAUCAUGGCUCAGGAUGAACGCUGGCGGCGUGCCUAACACAUGCAAGUCGAGCGAUCUUCUUCGGAAGAGAGCGGCGGGCGGGUGAGUAACGCGUGGGUAACCUGCCUCAUACACAUGGAUAACAUACCGAAAGGUAUGCUAAUACAAGAUGAUAUAAGGGAUUCGCAUGGAUUUCUUAUCAAAGCUCCGGCGGUAUGAGAUGGACCCGCGUCUGAUUAGCUAGUUGGUAAGGUAACGGCUUACCAAGGCGACGAUCAGUAGCCGACCUGAGAGGGUGAUCGGCCACAUUGGAACUGAGACACGGUCCAAACUCCUACGGGAGGCAGCAGUGGGGAAUAUUGCACAAUGGGCGAAAGCCUGAUGCAGCAACGCCGCGUGAGCGAUGAAGGCCUUCGGGUCGUAAAGCUCUGUCCUCAAGGAAGAUAAUGACGGUACUUGAGGAGGAAGCCCCGGCUAACUACGUG